rnacentral:rRNA from 1 species
AUCUAUGGCCAUGCCAACCUGAACAUGCCCAGUCUUAGAAUCUAAGCAGGGCUGGGGCUGGUUAGUACUUGGAUGGGAGACAGCCUGUGAAUAUUAGUUUCUGUAGUCU